AGCUGCAUUGGGACAUCAAAAUUACACUGCUGACAGCUGCAUCAACACCUUGCCAACAGCUCUCCCGAGCAAAGCCAACUGGAGGCCCAGGGAUGGCAGCAGCACUGCAUCCUGAUCUGAACAAUCCCUACAAUUACCAAGAGGGCAUUGUCUCCCUCUCCACCCGCACACAGUAUCAAAGACUCUGUGUCCAUCUUGCGGAAUCUGGGGGAUUGAGUUAAUAAAGCGCAGUUUAGAUCCCGCACCACAAGAGGACACUCCUCCCACAGUAAUUGUUCAAACUACACAGCUCAUUUUCAAGGAAGUCGCGUCCUGGUGUUUUCUACUGACAAGGCUGAAGAAAUCCCGCUAAGACAGCAGCACCGAGAGACUUGCAGGAGACACAGCUUGAACCGUUUUCCUCUGUCCUUAUCUGAUACAGAAUUACACAGGUCCCUUAAAUAACCCUCAAAUAAAAGCCACCAAUCACAGAUCUGAGAUCACUGUGAAGGAGACUAAAUAUCAGAUAACCCAG